GAGUGGCGGACGGGUGAGUAAUGCUUGGGAACUUGCCUUUGCGAGGGGGAUAACAGUUGGAAACGACUGCUAAUACCGCAUAAUGUCUUCGGACCAAACGGGGCUUCGGCUCCGGCGCAAAGAGAGGCCCAAGUGAGAUUAGCUAGUUGGUAAGGUAACGGCUUACCAAGGCGACGAUCUCUAGCUGUUCUGAGAGGAAGAUCAGCCACACUGGGACUGAGACACGGCCCAGACUCCUACGGGAGGCAGCAGUGGGGAAUAUUGCACAAUGGGGGAAACCCUGAUGCAGCCAUGCCGCGUGUGUGAAGAAGGCCUUCGGGUUGUAAAGCACUUUCAGUUGUGAGGAAAAGUUAGUAGUUAAUACCUGCUAGCCGUGACGUUAACAACAGAAGAAGCACCGGCUAACUCCGUGCCAGCAGCCGCGGUAAUACGGAGGGUGCGAGCGUUAAUCGGAAUUACUGGGCGUAAAGCGCACGCAGGCGGUUUGUUAAGCUAGAUGUGAAAGCCCCGGGCUCAACCUGGGAUGGUCAUUUAGAACUGGCAGACUAGAGUCUUGGAGAGGGGAGUGGAAUUCCAGGUGUAGCGGUGAAAUGCGUAGAUAUCUGGAGGAACAUCAGUGGCGAAGGCGACUCCCUGGCCAAAGACUGACGCUCAUGUGCGAAAGUGUGGGUAGCGAACAGGAUUAGAUACCCUGGUAGUCCACACCGUAAACGCUGUCUACUAGCUGUGUGUGCCUUUAAGGCGUGCGUAGCGAAGCUAACGCGCUAAGUAGACCGCCUGGGGAGUACGGCCGCAAGGUUAAAACUCAAAUGAAUUGACGGGGG
rnacentral:rRNA from 1 species